GGCCUAACACAUGCAAGUCGAACGCGAUUAAGGGGCUUGCUCCUUAUGAAAGUGGCGCACGGGUGCGUAACGCGUAUGCAACCUACCUUAAUCAGGGGGAUAGCCUCUCGAAAGAGAGAUUAACACCGCAUAAAAUCACAGACCGGCAUCGGUUAAUGAUCAAAUAUUAAUAGGAUUAAGAUGGGCAUGCGUGUCAUUAGUUAGUUGGUGAGGUAACGGCUCACCAAGACGACGAUGACUAGGGGAUCUGAGAGGAUGGCCCCCCACACUGGUACUGAGACACGGACCAGACUCCUACGGGAGGCAGCAGUAAGGAAUAUUGGUCAAUGGGCGCAAGCCUGAACCAGCCAUGCCGCGUGCAGGAAGACGGCCCUACGGGUUGUAAACUGCUUUUGUACCGGAAUAAACCUUUUUACGUGUAAGAAGCUGAAUGUACCAGAAGAAUAAGGA
rnacentral:rRNA from 1 species